GGCAUCAGGACACAUAUCUACAGGAAGGGUGGAAAAUAGAACAAGAAGAGAGGGUUAUAUACUUUAAAAGUGCUGCCAGUUUUCCACUCAGCUACUUGUUUAAAAACACAAAACAGGCAGUCGAAGUUAGGUAAAUCAGACGGUGCAGUUGGUGCAGUCAGUCUACCUCCUCUGUAGGCUUCUCGACCUGCGUGCCCUCCCCUGCCUCAUCGAGAACAGGAACCAGGUAUCUGUUGCUGUCAUUUCUGAGAGACUGCAAUACAGAGAUGCUUGACUACAGGAUCAUUCUCAUCGUCGCGAUCCUCACCAUCUUUCAUUCAACAAUUUCUGAGUACCACGUUCAUGCGAAGAACGGCCCACACUGCAAAUCAAAUGUCAAAGACAUGCUCCUGGCUAUACAGAGAGUAACUGCAAACGACAACACUGCUUCAGUCCACUGCCCAACACUGAAAGAUGAUGAGGAGAACGUUCACAUCAGUCUAUACAGAAACACAUGUGAACUGCACUCGACUGAUUUCAGAAGGACUCAACCAUCGAACAACUCAGAUCUCCAGCACAGGCUUCAUUUAUCCAUUGAGAAGAAUACAGUCUAUUAUCUGAUAAGCCUGCCUCAAGUCAAUGACACAAGCCUGUACUGUUGUGAAGUCCAGCAUGGCACCACUGACAGCAGAACAGCCUGCACUUUGCUACUUGUUAAAGAUGCAGUUCCUUUCUGUUCUUAUGAGGGAGGACCAGUGUACUGGCUGAUGCUAACUGUAGGCUGUGGGCUAUUUGCUUUGUACGGCCUUAUUGUCACUGUUGUCACCUGUUCCUUUUGUCGGAAACUCAAGAACGAAGAGGAAGAUCAGAAUGAUUAUUGCAACACAAAACCAGGAGAAUUCAAAAGAGCCAAAUGAAUUCAGUCUAGCUUCAACAGCAAAUUACUGCCCACCUGUGCAUCUACAACUGAAUAUAUGACCAGUACAAUGUACCCAUUAAAGAGCAGCAAUCUGCAAUCAUGUGUUACAAAGACAACCAACCACUGAUCCAUAACUAGAACAUAUACAGUCAACUGUAUGUCUGAUUCAGUUCAUUCAAUAGGUUUAAUAACUCUCAUUAUAUUCUGCAUUUUUAUUACGUCUUGUAAAUAUUUGUUGUCUUUGAAUACUGUGACAUCUUCCAUCUACUAAUGUAACAAUACUCUAACAUAUACAACAUCUAUGCAGACUGUGGACCUGUUGUUUAAGACAAUGUAAAAAUUGUGCUCUACAGUAUUUUUUGACUUUUAGACUCAUUAUUUAGAUCUUUGUUUUAGCAUAAUGAAAACUUUGUGCCAAUCAGUAUUAACUUUGUGCAUCAUCAUUAUUGGAAUCCAAAUAAAUGUAAUUCAGGUGUACCGCUCGCUGUUGUCUCAUCUUUUCUUAGUUAUAACAUUAAAACAACUUUCUGAAGAAUAGAAUCA
ensembl:lncRNA